CUCCCUUUGUCUCCAUCACCCCCCCCCAUCCUCACCUCCCCCUCCCCCUCUGCCACAUGGAACUGCGUUGGCCUGGUGUGGUCUGUCUGGAUGUGAGCCAUGAUUCUAACACAACAUUGGUACUGAAACCGGGACCCAGCUGGGUCAUAACCACUUGUAGAGCAUGUGGGCAUACCUGGCAGUGUGCGGUGGAGGGAGCUAAGAAGGUUCAUGGCCAAGAGUUAAGUGUCUGGAAGGAGACUGCCUGACCUUGGUUCUGCACUCACAGACCGGCAGGAAGGUGGCAUCAUCCUGAGGUACCCCAGGGUAGGCUUGGCUAUGUGUGUGAUAAGGGGACUGGACCAGGGCUAGAGCCCUGUGCUCACUGCAAGGUUGUGUGAAAACAGCUGUCAGCUGCUCUCGAGGCUUUGAAGUCCCUGUCCAAUAAAUAAGAGGAGUCGGAGCCAGU